rnacentral:rRNA from 1 species
UUCGCCCUUAGAGUUUCCUUCUGGCUCAGGACGAACGCUGGCGGCGUGCUUAACACAUGCAAGUCGAGCGGGGACACGGGGCUUCGGUUCUGUGUUCUAGCGGCGGACGGGUGAGUAACGCGUGAACAAUCUGUCCCAGACAGGGGGAUAACACUUGGAAACAGGUGCUAAUACCGCAUAAGACCACGACCUGGCAUCGGGUUGAGGUAAAAGGAGCAAUCCGGUUUGGGGUGAGUUCGCGUCCGAUUAGCUAGUUGGCGGGGUAACGGCCCACCAAGGCGACGAUCGGUAGCCGACCUGAGAGGGUGAUCGGCCACAUUGGAACUGAGAGACGGUCCAAACUCCUACGGGAGGCAGCAGUGGGGAAUAUUGGGCAAUGGGCGAAAGCCUGACCCAGCAACGCCGCGUGAGGGAAGAAGGUUUUCGGAUUGUAAACCUCUGUCCUAGGUGACGAAGGAAGUGACGGUAGCCAAGGAGGAAGCCCCGGCUAACUACGUGCCAGCAGCCGCGGUAAUACGUAGGGGGCGAGCGUUGUCCGGAAUGACUGGGCGUAAAGGGCGUGUAGGCGGCCAGAUAAGUGUGAAGUGAAAGUCCUGCUUUUCAGGUGGGAAUUGCUUUUGCAGACUGUGUGGGCUUGAGUGCGGAAGAAGGUAAGUGGAAUUCCCAGUGUAGCGGUGAAAUGCGUAGAGAUGGGGAGGAACACCAGUGGGCGAAGGGCGACUUACUGGGCCGUAACUGACGCUGAGGCGCGAAAGCGUGGGGAGCGAACAGGAUUAGAUACCCUGGUAGUCCACGCUGUAAACGAUGAAUACUAGGUGUGGGGGAGUAAUCUCUUCCGUGCCGCAGCUAACGCAUUAAGUAUUCCGCCUGGGGAGUACGGCCGCAAGGCUAAAACUCAAAGGAAUUGACGGGGACCCGCACAAGCAGCGGAGCAUGUGGCUUAAUUCGAAGCAACGCGAAGAACCUUACCUGGGCUUGACAUAUAGGUGAAGCCGUGGAAACACGGUGGCCGAAAGGAGCCUAUACAGGUGGUGCAUGGCUGUCGUCAGCUCGUGUCGUGAGAUGUUGGGUUAAGUCCCGCAACGAGCGCGACCCUUACUGUCAGUUACUACGCAAGAGGACUCUGGCAGGACUGCCGUUGACAAAACGGAGGAAGGUGGGGAUGACGUCAAAUCAUCAUGCCCUUUAUGACUUGGGCUACACACGUACUACAAUGGCGUUAAACAAAGAGAAGCGAGACCGCGAGGUGGAGCAAAACUCAAAAACAACGUCCCAGUUCGGACUGCAGGCUGCAACUCGCCUGCACGAAGUCGGAAUUGCUAGUAAUCGCAGAUCAGCAUGCUGCGGUGAAUACGAUCCCGGGCCUUGCACACACCGCCCGUCA